UACCCGCAGCACAAGUGGUGGUCAUUAUUAUUGGGCCUAAAGCGUCCGUAGCUGGCCUGUUAGAUGCCUGGGUAAAUCGAUGCGCUCAACGCAUCGAAUUCCGGGUAGACCGGCAGGCUCGAGACCGGGAGAGGCGUGAGCUACUCGGGGGGUAGGGGUAAAAUCCUGUAAUCCUCCGGGGAGGACCAGUGGCGAAGGCAUCACGCUAGAACGGCUCUGACAGUGAGGGACGAAGCCCUGGGGCGCAAACCGG
rnacentral:rRNA from 1 species